UACGAAGGGGGCUAGCGUUGCUCGGAACCACUGGGCGUAAAGGGCGCGUAGGCGGGCUCUUAAGUCAGGGGUAAAAGCCCAAGGCUCAACCUUGGAAUUGCCUUUGAUACUGAGGGCCUUGAGACCGGAAGAGGUCGGCGGAACUGCGAGUGUAGAGGUGAAAUUCGUAGAUAUUCGCAAGAACACCAGUGGCGAAGGCGGCCGACUGGUCCGGUUCUGACGCUGAGGCGCGAAAGCGUGGGGAGCAAACAGG
rnacentral:rRNA from 1 species